AGUCGUAACAAGGUAACCGUAGGUGAACCUGCGGUUGGAUCAUUACUGAACCAACUAACUACCUAGUAUGGGAGCCCGUAAGGGAUUUCAUAGUAGGCAGUAGGAGUGAGAGGAAUCUUCUUCUCUCUCCGAUAACACCCCAAAAAACAAUGUGCUAUUGUUUUUAGUUUCCUACCUACUGGCCUUUAUGGGUUCAAUAGGGAAAGAAGCUAUGAGACACCAAUACCUUCUGAAAGCGAAAGUGCUUUUUUUCAAAAUGUCUUUUUGCCUAUGGGAAUUUUAUCUUCCCUAUAUAGAAAAAGAGAAUAAAACAAAUUGAAAACAACUUUUGACAACGGAUCUCUUGGCUCUC
rnacentral:misc_RNA from 1 species